AGAAACUUAGGAUAAACCUAAACCAAGGGCCUUCAAAGCCCUAAACAAGAGUUAAACUCUCUUAGUUUCUG
rnacentral:tRNA from 1 species